rnacentral:rRNA from 1 species
AGAGUUUGAUCCUGGCUCAGGAUGAACGCUGGCGGCGUGCUUAACACAUGCAAGUCGAACGAAGCGCGCGGAAGGAAGGCCUUCGGGCCGGAGAGCCGCGGGACUGAGUGGCGGACGGGUGAGUAACGCGUGGGCAACCUGCCCCGUACAGGGGGAUAACAGCCGGAAACGGCUGCUAAUACCGCAUAAGCGCACAGCGCCGCAUGGCGCGGUGUGAAAAGCUCCGGCGGUACGGGAGGGGCCCGCGUCUGAUUAGGCAGUUGGCGGGGCAGCGGCCCACCAAACCGACGAUCAGUAGCCGGCCUGAGAGGGCGGCCGGCCACAUUGGGACUGAGACACGGCCCAAACUCCUGCGGGAGGCAGCAGUGGGGAAUAUUGCACAAUGGGGGAAACCCUGAUGCAGCGACGCCGCGUGAGUGAAGAAGUAAUUCGUUAUGUAAAGCUCUAUCAGCAGGAAAAAAAAUGACGGCACCUGAUUAAGAAGCCCCCGGCUAACUUACGUGCCCCCAGCCGCGGUAAUACGUAGGGGGCAAGCGUUAUCCUGAUU